GGUGAACGCUGGCGGCGUGCCUAACACAUGCAAGUCGAACGAAGCGGCUCGAAGUUUUCGGACAGAGAGUUGACUGAGUGGCGGACGGGUGAGUAACGCGUGGGUAACCUGCCUUAUACAGGGGGAUAACAGUUAGAAAUGACUGCUAAUACCGCAUAAGCGCACAGGAUCGCAUGAUCUGGUGUGAAAAGCCGAGACGGUAUAAGAUGGACCCGCGUCUGAUUAGCUAGUUGGUGAGGUAACGGCCCACCAAGGCGACGAUCAGUAGCCGACCCGAGAGGGUGACCGGCCACAUUGGGACUGAGACACGGCCCAA
rnacentral:rRNA from 1 species